UCCGCCGCCCCCGGCCAACCUCGGCCACAGGAGACAUGGCCCGCCCCCCCCCCUCCCCGGCGACGACCAGGGGUUUGUUUACAAAGGAGCUCCCCGCCGUGAGUGAAGCUUCGGACCACCAGUGAGGAGGAGAGGCCACCGAGAUCCCGCCCGCCGGAGAGAUGGCCACCGUCGCGACCCAGGCGUCCCUCGCCGUCAUCCGGCCGUGCUCCCGGUCGCGGUUCCUCGGCGGAUCCUCCGGCAAGCUCCCGCGGGAUUUCUCAGCACCCUCCCGGGCGCCGUCCUCCGCCCGGAGCCUCGGCGCCUUCCGCGUGGAGGCGAAGAAGGGCGAGUGGCUCCCCGGCCUCGCCUCCCCCUCCUACCUCAACGGCAGGUGACGGGCGCAAGCGACAAGCCUUUCAAUUCACUUCUCACCUCUCUCUCUCUCUCUCUCGCUGUUCUUCUUCUCGCCGGCCGCCUGAUGGAGGCAUCUCUUGCCUGUGGCUGCAGCCUUCCCGGAGACAACGGGUUCGACCCGCUGGGGCUGGCGGAGGACCCGGAGAACCUCAAGUGGUUCGUGCAGGCGGAGCUGGUGAACGGGCGGUGGGCGAUGCUGGGAGUGGCGGGCAUGCUGCUGCCGGAGGUGUUCACGAAGAUCGGCGUGAUCAACGUGCCCGAGUGGUACGAUGCCGGCAAGCAGGAGUACUUCGCCUCUUCCUCCACGCUCUUCGUGAUCGAGUUCAUCCUGUUCCACUACGUGGAGAUCCGGCGGUGGCAGGACAUCAAGAACCCCGGCAGCGUCAACCAGGACCCCAUCUUCAAGAGCUACAGCCUCCCCCCCAACGAGGUCGGCUACCCCGGCGGCAUCUUCAACCCCCUCAACUUCGCCCCCACCCUCGAGGCCAAGGAGAAGGAGAUCGCCAACGG
rnacentral:lncRNA from 1 species